rnacentral:tRNA from 1 species
GGCAUAAUGGUUAAACACUUGGCUGUUAACCAAAAAGUUGGUGGUUCAAAUCCACCAGCCA